AUGAGUGGAAAGGAGGGUGGUGAGUUUAUAUAAACUUAGUGAGUAAACAAACAUCAUCUAAAAUAUCUAAAGUCGAGUAAAUGGAGACAACUUAAAAUAGUUCAUCGUACUAUGAUUCAUAACAUUUCAAACUCAUUUCAACUAAAUAAAAUAAAUUCAUUUCACUCAAAUAAUCAACAUGGCUUAUGAAUUUCUUAAAA
rnacentral:lncRNA from 1 species